AAGUGAGUUCCAGAACAGCCAGGG
rnacentral:piRNA from 1 species